rnacentral:rRNA from 1 species
AACGAACGCUGGCGGCAGGCUUAACACAUGCAAGUCGAGCGCCCCGCAAGGGGAGCGGCAGACGGGUGAGUAACGCGUGGGAAUCUACCCAUCUCUACGGUAUAACGCAUGGAAACGUGUGCUAAUACCGUAUACGUCCUUCGGGAGAAAGAUUUAUCGGAGAUGGAUGAGCCCGCGUUGGAUUAGCUAGUUGGGGGGGUAAAGGCCUACCAAGGCGACGAUCCAUAGCUGGUCUGAGAGGAUGAUCAGCCACACUGGGACUGAGACACGGCCCAGACUCCUACGGGAGGCAGCAGUGGGGAAUAUUGGACAAUGGGCGCAAGCUUGAUCCAGCCAUGCCGCGUGAGUGAUGAAGGCCCUAGGGUUGUAAAGCUCUUUCACCGGUGAAGAUAAUGACGGUAACCGGAGAAGAAGCCCCGGCUAACUUCGUGCCAGCCGCCGCGGUAAUAC